rfam:Arabidopsis thaliana chromosome 1, complete sequence.
GUGGACAUGCCGGAGUGGUGUUAUCGGGCAUAACUAGAAAUCAUGUGGGCUUUGCCCGCGCAGGUUCGAAUCAUGCCGUUUACG